GUCCACGCCGUAAACGAUGGAUACUAGCUGUUCGGAGCAAUCUGAGUGGCUAAGCGAAAGUGAUAAGUAUCCCACCUGGGGAGUACGAACGCAAGUUUGAAACUCAAAGGAAUUGACGGGGCCCGCACAAGCGGUGGAGCAUGUGGUUUAAUUCGAUGAUACGCGAGGAACCUUACCAAGGCUUAAAUGUAGAUUGACCGAUUUGGAAACAGAUCUUUCGCAAGACAAUUUACAAGGUGCUGCAUGGUUGUCGU
rnacentral:rRNA from 1 species